GAUGGUAUGGCCCAUCACUGGCGAUUUACAGGAAUAGCCAGUAAACUACCCCGAGGUGCUUUGAUAGCAAUUGAUAGGUGCUGAACGUCGUGGGAGAAGGUCCGACAAGAUCGGAUCAUGU
rfam:Lewinella sp. 4G2 scaffold2_cov53_read170, whole genome shotgun sequence.